CCUACGGGAGGCAGCAGUGGGGAAUAUUGGGCAAUGGGCGCAAGCCUGACCCAGCAACGCCGCGUGAAGGAAGAAGGCUUUCGGGUUGUAAACUUCUUUUAAGAGGGAAGAGCAGAAGACGGUACCUCUUGAAUAAGCCACGGCUAACUACGUGCCAGCAGCCGCGGUAAUACGUAGGUGGCAAGCGUUGUCCGGAUUUACUGGGUGUAAAGGGCGUGUAGCCGGGCUGACAAGUCAGUUGUGAAAUUCCGGGGCUCAACCCCGGACCUGCAUUUGAAACUGGUGGUCUUGAGUAUCGGUGAGGCAGGCGGAAUUCGUAGUGUAGCGGUGAAAUGCGUAGAUAUUAGGAGGAACACCGAUGGCGAAGGCGGCCUGCUGAACGACAACUGACGGUGAUGCGCGAAAGCGUGGGGAUCAAACAGGAUUAGAUACCCUAGUAGUC
rnacentral:rRNA from 1 species